rnacentral:lncRNA from 1 species
CACAAAACAUUAUUUUAUUUCAUAAGGUGAAAUCAUACACACGACUUUCAAUCCCAUAAAUAGGUCCCAUUUUAUACAAUAUCAUAUUAUAAUACACAUGGACAUUUUUUUAUAUGCUAGGUGGAGCAGAAACAUCUCAGCUCACGCCUAAUGCCACUCAACUCUUUUGAAUAAACCACAUACAUUAUUCAUAAUACAUGACAUAUAGAUAGAGGAAAUUAAAUCCUCAUUUAUUUGUCACACACAAUAAUGAAAUUAAAAUAAAUUAUUUUACUUCUUGUCCUCGGGUGCAAGAUGAGCAUCAACAUAUUUGAGAACCUCAACAGAUAAAUGGAACAAAGAGUGAGGAUUAGGAACAUUGUUAUUGAGCUUCUCAUAUUCUACUAUCCAACGAACCACACUUCCUUCUCUUUGAGGAACAAUUUGCAUUAUGAACUUGAAGCUUUUGUAAUCCUCCAAUAAGUCUCCACCCAACACUUUGAACGUUAUUUUGUUGUUUUCUUUGUCUAUGUCUUCAAUCCUCUGCUUAGAAAUACAAGUUUUUCCAGCUGUUUUUUUGUUCAUAAAUUAAAUACUAUCUUUAUUAGAUCACAUAUAUAGGAAAAUGAGCGACACCAAUUAUAUUAAUGAUCUAUUAUAUGAAUCGAUGCUACCAAAUUACAUGCUAGUCAAUUAAAUGUUAACUCAAAUCGUUAAUAAACUUCAUUUAUAGACCAAUUGUUUGAGAGUAUCUUACAUCGAAUGAUAAUUGAACAAUUUUUAGCAGAAUUCAUAUUUACCUUCUGGUUGGACUCUAGCUAGAUUAUCAAGGUCUAUUUCCUUGAGAGUCAGAUGGUUAAGAAAAUUAUUUACAAGUCUGUCAUAUGAGCACAUUAUUAAUAAUAACUUGAAUUUCUCAUAUAUCAAACACUAAAUUUAAUUGAACUUAACUUAUAAAUAGUCAUAAAAUUAUGUAAAUAAUUUAAUUUACAUCAAAGUAUAUGUAUCCCUGGUUUUCUGCCAUGCUCUUCAAAAGUAAAAUUCACCAGAGUCCAGAAGCUAACUUGAUAUGCAUGUUCAAUCAUAUCUCAAAUAAAAAUCUUGACAAAAAAUAUCAAGUAAUUGGCCUCAAUUAGUUAAUGAACUCCAAUUAUGAUGAAUCGCUCGUAGGAACAAAAGUUCGAAUACUAACUAAAAUAAUCAUCCAUCAAUUUUUAUUUAUAUGAACCCUUACACCGAGAACAGAAAAGUUAAGAUAAAAAAGAAACAUGAUUGUAAAGGAAGAUACCGUUCUUUUGAAACAAAUUUUGAGUUUCAAAUAUAAACCAAGUUGAGUUUGAGUUGGAACUCACUUACCAAAAACAUAAUUCCAGGAUAUAAUGCACCCCUCAGUGCCCCAAUCACCUUCAUGAAGUUCAAUACCCUUUACUAUAUCAGGGCAAACAUUUGAAAUAUGGUGUGUCUUGUUGCACAAAACUUCAUAAAACUGCUGGGGGGUGGCCUUAAUAGGCACAUCCAUUUCUAUCUUUUCAAUUGCAGAUGUUGCCAUAUUUGU